AUAUAAUAACACAAAUAGGUUACCAUAAUGUUUACAAUAUAAUAGGUUUGAAGAUAGUAGAGAAAAGUACAUUAUUAUCCUUCCCAUUUUCCAGCCUAUUUUUCGAAAUUUCUACUAUUUAAAAAUGAGAAAAGUGCUUAAUUUCGGAGCACUACCGAAGCACCCCUCUUUAAUUUCCUUCUUCGUGAAGUUUUCUCCUCUUCUUCAUUCCUCUUCAUUGGAUCUCUCUCUCUCUCUAUUCAUUCCAACUCUGCCAAUCUCGAAGGCACUCCACGAGCUGCACCUGCCUUCAGCGCCUCCACCACCACGAACGCCUCUCUGCCGUGAUAUUUAGGCACUGAUCUGACUGCGUGACCUAGCAAUGUGGAACGAAUGUGGACGUCCUGGUACACCAUUUAGUUUGGUGUUGAAAAUGCUACAGGGAAUAUUUUCCCUUACCUCAUUUAUGUUUUUGAUGUCAGCCCCCAGACUUAUGCAGCUCAAAGUUUUUGGGUUUAUGAUGUUGGCAACGCUUAUUGGAGCUAUUUGGAGCUUAGCCAUCUUCUGCCUUUACAUGGUUCUGAUGAUCAAAAAUGCACAAAUACAUCGUGUCUACCUGGUCUUUCUUGUUGUGGGAGACAUCAUUGCUUCGUUUGUAUAUUUAUCAUCAGCAAUUCAAUCACUUGGACCGGCAUUGUAUUUCGCUAUAGACACCAAAUGGUGCUCUGUUAGGUACCACAAUGAGUGCAAGUUUCUCUUUCUAGCAAUUGGAGUAGAUGUGGCCGCAUGGUUUUGCGCAUUCAUUUCCUUCAUGUUUGUUCUCAGGCAUCGAAUAUCACGGAGGGGUCGGUAAGAAAAAGGUAUUAUGCUAAUAAACUUCAAGGUAUCAGACCCUACUUGUAGGAAAUCAGGACACUGACAAGUUUACUGAGCCAUGAAGUCAGGAUGGAGAGGAGACAAAGGAGGAGAGGACUGUGAAGAAUAAUAAGGGAGGAUUCAAAGAUAAUGGUUUCUUUUAGUCAAUUGUUGUGAGUGUGUUUAGUCAGUUUAUUCUAGUGUGUUAGUUUGGCUUGGCUUAUGGAAAUAGCAAAGGCAAGGUUAUAUGCUAUCGUUGUAUAUGUCAUGUUUUAAAUUAGGGCUUUGGGUGGAUUGCAUGUUAAACCCUUGUAUGUCGGCAAGUCGAUUCUGUAAUAGGAGAUUCAGUUGGUUGUUAUUCUGUUUGUUUGGUCUGUGGUGUUCCAUCUUGUUAAUAACAGAUAAAUUGUUACUUC